GACGGAGGAUGCAAGCGUUAUCCGGAAUUAUUGGGCGUAAAGCGUCCGCAGGUGGCUGUUCAAGUCUGCUGUCAAAGCGCAGAGCUUAACUCUGUACAGGCGGUGGAAACUGAAGAGCUAGAGUAUGGUAGGGGUAGAGGGAAUUCCCGGUGUAGCGGUGAAAUGCGUAGAUAUCGGGAAGAACACCAGUGGCGAAGGCGGUUCUCUGGGCAUGUCCUGACGCUGAGGAGCGAAAGUGUGGGGAGCGAACAGG
rnacentral:rRNA from 1 species